GUGAGGAGUUGUCGUCAUGGUACAGAGCUCCUCCCCCUUUCCGCCAUGUUGGCAGGAUUCCGGCGGCAGAACAUGAUUGUUUACGUGUGUUUUUAGCUCGAUCGUCUCCGAAAUAAAAAAUUAAAAGAGGUCUGGAAGUCGCGUCUCUGUGAAGUUGCCCCUGGCAACUGAUAGCGUCACCUACCAUCAUGGCCGACCGGCGCAGACCCCUCCCAAAUCGGCACGUGACUCCUCACUCUCAAUACCCAUAAUGCUACAAAAAAGAACAUUUCAGGGAAAUCACCACACCAGUGACAGAAAAGAUGAUUUCAUACAGAAACACCGCUCUCUGUGAUAGAAGACAAGGACGAGACAGAAGAAAAAAGCAAAAGGAUUGUCACCGGGCUGUAUCGA